rnacentral:rRNA from 1 species
UGGGGAAUAUUGGACAAUGGGCGAAAGCCUGAUCCAGCCAUGCCGCGUGUGUGAAGAAGGUCUUCGGAUUGUAAAGCACUUUAAGUUGGGAGGAAGGGCAUUAACCUAAUACGUUAGUGUUUUGACGUUACCGACAGAAUAAGCACCGGCUAACUCUGUGCCAGCAGCCGCGGUAAUACAGAGGGUGCAAGCGGUAAUCGGAAUUACUGGGCGUAAAGCGCGCGUAGGUGGUUUGUUAAGUUGGAUGUGAAAUCCCCGGUCUCAACCUGGGAACUGCAUUCAAAACUGACUGACUAGAGUAUGGUAGAGGGUGGUGGAAUUUCCUGUGUAGCGGUGAAAUGCGUAGAUAUAGGAAGGAACACCAGUGGCGAAGGCGACCACCUGGACUAAUACUGACACUGAGGUGCGAAAGCGUGGGGAGCAAACA